GAUUUUGCCUACACAGACAUCUUCCUCUCAACAUACAAGGCAUUUACAUCCACUAAGAGAGUCCUGGAGCUUCUCCUUGACCGAAAGGAGAACCUGGAGACCCCAACCUUCGAGGAGACAGAGAGCAAGAACUGCUCCGAGCACAAAGCUCUGCCUAGAACGUAAGUGUGGCUUUGGCCAGGACUUGCUGUCGGGGAGCACAUGGGCAGCAGAGAUGUUGUUCCUUUUCAAAGGCCACAGUGCUGUUUGCUUGCUUAAACUGUCUCAUAUCAAAGGAUCACACAGAGUUACAGAAUAGCAGGGUUUGGAAGGGACCUUUGGUGAUCAGAUUCACCUAGAGCAGGUUGACAAUAAUAUAAGCCAGAGAUCUUCUCGUCAGAGAAAUCAUCUUAGAAUUAAACAUGAGAUGAACACAUCUAGGCCAACAUUUUGUUGAAACAGACAAGGAGUGUUUGUUUCCCCUGCCUUAUCGAUGGCAGUAAAUGGUUAUUGCUUGUGACUGUUUUUAUUGUGCCUUACAGCAGUGUCUGCAAACCAAAGCUGGUGUUGUCUCUGGCAA